CGCCGAGCUCAUCUCAGCGUCACCGUUCACAAACAGAACAAAAACAAAUGGCUUCUUGAACAGGGACCCGAAGGAACCAAGAAGUUCUGGAGUCCUGAUAAAAGAAUCAAAUUGAGGCAGGGCGAGCAAGAGGAAGUGUGAUGAAGCGGGACUGGAAGACCGGUUUGCGCAGCUAACCAUCCAGGGAGGACAAACAAUUCGCUUGCCAUUGCCUCCCACCCAAAACACCCCUCCACCUACAUGGGGACAGGUGAAGCGCCUAUGCCAGGAAGGGGAGCGUCUUGUGACUGCCCAUGGAAGGCCCUGUACUUCCCUACAUUAUUUGUGGCUAUGCUGGCUGUCCUCACUAACCAGGUAAAAGGGCUGAACUAUACUUAUUGGGCCUACAUCCCAAAUCCUCUGUUAAUGAGAGGGGUUUCUUGGACAGAUGUGACUGUACCUAUAUAUACUAAUGACCCUGAUUGGAUGCCUGGACCUUUUGAUGAUCGUGGGCCUAUGAAACCAGAUGAAGAAGUAACAAGAAUGAACAACUAUUCGACAGGAGUUGCCAGAUGCCUGUGUGUCUGGGACUAGUCUGCAGAAGAUCCCAUAAAGCCGCAGCAGUGAACAGUCAAUGCAGUGCUAUCUUCUCUGUCAUGAACCCGAAGCAAAAC